rnacentral:rRNA from 1 species
ACGGGAGGCCGCAGUGGGGAAUAUUGGGCUAUGGGCGCAAGCCUGACCCAGCCACGCCGCGUGAAGGAUGAAGGUCUUCGGAUUGUAAACUUCUUUGAUUGGGGUAGAAUAAAUGACCUACCCAAAGAACAAGUCACGGCUAACUACGUGCCAGCAGCCGCGGUAAUACGCAGGUGACAAGCGUUAUCCGGAUUUACUGGGUGUAAAGGGCGUGUAGGCGGUUCUGUAAGUCAGAAGUGAAAUUCCCGGGCUCAACCUGGGCGCUUCUUCUGAAACUACAGAACUUGAGUACUGGAGGGGAAAGCGGAAUUCCUAGUGUAGCGGUAAAAUGCACAGAUAUUAGGAGGAACACCGGUGGCGAAGGCGGCUUUCUGGACAGUAACUGACACUGAUGCUCGAAAGCGUGGGGAGCAAACAGGAUUAGAUACCCUGGUA